GAAAAGUAUAUGCAUGGUAAACAAAAAGAUGUGAAAAAAGUUGUAAAAAAGGACAUGAAGGUGAGGAAUAAUAAACGGAAACAGGUGGAAACACCAAACAAAGGUGUUGGUGAGGUGCACAUAGUAAAGAACAGAAGGUUAUCAACAUCUAAAGUUGGUGAUAAAGAUGACAAUGUUGUUGAUGGUUAAACAUAAAAAAUUGGAAUGGGCAACGAGUGAUAAUUUCAACGAUUGCGGUGUGUUCGCUAUGCGACACAUGGAGAUGUACAAAUGGAG